rnacentral:lncRNA from 1 species
UUGCGCAUGGGUGCAAGUUGAAGGACCAUUUGGAUGUUUUCCACUUCCAUUUUUCAUACACAAUUGCAUGGCCUUCCAACUUGAAUUCAGCAUGAUGCACACUCAUUUUUGGAUCAGAACACAUCAUUUCAUGGGCCUAGCACAUUACAUCAUCCUACACAUAUAUCAUCCUCCAUGAGUCCAAAAAGUCAAGAGAAUGUCAAGCUAGAAAGAUGGUUCAUGGUGGUUGACCAGAGAAAGUCAACUAGUCAAAACUGGGGUUCCAUAGACCCUAUCUCCUUCAAUUUUUGUCAUAUGAAAAUGAUUCCAAGAGAAACGUUACUCAAAAUGACAUUCCAAAAAACUUUAAUGUUGAAGUCUAGACGUAGUUUUGCUUGGAAAGUCAUUUUUUAUGGUGAAAGACUAUAGGUCAUUUUGUCUGAACCCUAGUUUUGAGGUCAACUUUCCAAGACGAUAACUUGCUCAAUUUUUAUGAGAUGAAAUCCAUUAAAUUCUAAUGAUCAAAUUCAAGAUGUUUACUUCUACUUUUAUGUUUGGAGGAAGUUCAAAUUCAACUUGAAAAUGCAUGUGCCAAGAAGAAACAUUAUAGGUCAUUUUGGCCCAAGUCCAUUGAACAAGUGAUAUUCCUCAACUUCUAAAAUGCAUAACUCCUUCAUGCAAAAUCCAAAUGAGGUCAAAUUUGUGACUAAAUUGAAUAGGUUUGAAAGAGCUACAACUUUCAUUAAAGAACGCUUCUCAUUUGAAGUCCAUAGAAAAAGUUAUUCAAGGUGGAAAAAGUGAACAUUUGACUUGGGACUUAGAAAAUUUUCAAAUAUGUUUGAUUUCCCAAACUUCCAACUGAAAAUUCAUCAUGAUACAAGCUUCAAAUGAAAAAGUGUUCAACAUGAAAGUUGUUUCCCUUGACCUCACCAUUCCAAAACGUCCAAGAUCACCUCAUUUGGCCAAAGUAACAUAGGACUAGAGCAUGGGUGCAAGUUGAAGGACCAUUUGGAUGUUUUCCACUUCCAUUUUUCAUACACAAUUGCAUGGCCUUCCAACUUGAAUUCAGCAUGAUGCACACUCAUUUUUGGAUCAGAACACAUCAUUUCAUGGGCCUAGCACAUUACAUCAUCCUACACAUAUAUCAUCCUCCAUGAGUCCAAAAAGUCAAGAGAAUGUCAAGCUAGAAAGAUGGUUCAUGGUGGUUGACCAGAGAAAGUCAACUAGUCAAAACUGGGGUUCCAUAGACCCUAUCUCCUUCAAUUUUUGUCAUAUGAAAAUGAUUCCAAGAGAAACGUUACUCAAAAUGACAUUCCAAAAAACUUUAAUGUUGAAGUCUAGACGUAGUUUUGCUUGGAAAGUCAUUUUUUAUGGUGAAAGACUAUAGGUCAUUUUGUCUGAACCCUAGUUUUGAGGUCAACUUUCCAAGACGAUAACUUGCUCAAUUUUUAUGAGAUGAAAUCCAUUAAAUUCUAAUGAUCAAAUUCAAGAUGUUUACUUCUACUUUUAUGUUUGGAGGAAGUUCAAAUUCAACUUGAAAAUGCAUGUGCCAAGAAGAAACAUUAUAGGUCAUUUUGGCCCAAGUCCAUUGAACAAGUGAUAUUCCUCAACUUCUAAAAUGCAUAACUCCUUCAUGCAAAAUCCAAAUGAGGUCAAAUUUGUGACUAAAUUGAAUAGGUUUGAAAGAGCUACAACUUUCAUUGAAGAACGCUUCUCAUUUGAAGUCCAUCGAAAAAGUUAUUCAAGGUGGAAAAAGUGUACAUUUGACUUGGGACUUAGAAAAUUUUCAAAUAUGAUUGAUUUCCCAAACUUCCAACUAAAAAUUCAUCAUGAUACAAGCUUCAAAUGAAAAACCGUUCAACAUGAAAGUUGUUCCCCUUGAUCUCACCUUUCCAAAACGUCCAAGUUCGACUCAUUUGGCCAAAGUAACAAUGGACUUGCGCAUGGGUGCAAGUUGAAGGACCAUUUGGAUGUUUUCCACUUCCAUUUUUCAUACACGAUUGCAUAGCCUUCCAAUUUGAAUUCAGCAUGAUGCACACUCAUUUUUGGAUCAGAAUACAUCAUGUCAUGGGCCUAGCACAUUACAUCAUCCUACACAUAUAUCAGCCUCCAUGAGUCCCAAAAGUCAAGAGAAUGCCAAGCUAGCAACAUGGUUCAUGGUGGUUGACCAGAGAAAGUCAACUAGUCAAAUUUGGGGUUGCAUAGACCCUAUCUCCUUCAAUUUUUGUCAUAUGAAAAUGAUUCCAAAAGAAACGUUACUCAAAAUGACAUUCCAAAAAACUUUAAUGUUGAAAUAUAGAGGUGGUUUUGCUUGGAAAGUCAUUUUUUAUGGUGAAAGACUAUAGGUCAUUUUGUCUGAACCCUAGUUUGGAGGUCAACUUCCCAAGGUGAUAACUUGCUCAAUUUUUAUGAGAUGAAAUCCAUUAAAUUCUAAUGAUCAAAUUCAAUACGUUUACUUCAACUUUUAAGUUUGGAUGAAGUUCAAAUUCAACAUGCAAAUUCAUGUGCCAACAAGAAACAUUUUAGGUCAUUUUGGGCCAAUACCAUUGAACAAGUGAUUUUCCUCAACUUCUAAAAUGCGUAACUCCUUCAUGCCAAAUCCAAAUGAGGUCAAAUUUAUGACUAAAUUGAAUAGGUUUGAAGGAGCUACAACUUUCAUUGAAGAACGCUUCCCAUUUGAAGUCCAUCGAAAAAGUUAUUCAAGGUGGAAAAAGUGUACAUUUGACUUGGGACUUAGAAAAUUUUAAAAUAUGUUUGAUUUCCCAAACUUUCAACUAAAUAUUCAUCAUGAUACAAGCUUCAAAUGAAAAAGCGUUCAACAUGAAAGUUGUUCCCCUUGAUCUCACCUUUCCAAACCGUCCAAGUUCACCUCAUUUGGCCAAAGUAACAAUGGACUUGCACAUGGGUGUAAGUUGAAGGACCAUUUGGAUGUUUUCCACUUCCAUUUUUCAUACACAAUUGCAUGGCCUUCAACCUUGAAUUCAGCAUGAUGCACACUCAUUUUUGGAUCAGAACACAUCAUUUCAUGGGCCUAGCACAUUACAUCAUCCUACACAUAUAUCAUCCUCCAUGAGUCCAAAAAGUCAAGAGAAUGUCAAGCUAGAAAGAUGGUUCAUGGUGGUUGACCAGAGAAAGUCAACUAGUCAAAACUGGGGUUCCAUAGACCCUAUCUCCUUCAAUUUUUGUCAUAUGAAAAUGAUUCCAAGAGAAACGUUACUCAAAAUGACAUUCCAAAAAACUUUAAUGUUGAAGUCUAGACGUAGUUUUGCUUGGAAAGUCAUUUUUUAUGGUGAAAGACUAUAGGUCAUUUUGUCUGAACCCUAGUUUUGAGGUCAACUUUCCAAGACGAUAACUUGCUCAAUUUUUAUGAGAUGAAAUCCAUUAAAUUCUAAUGAUCAAAUUCAAGAUGUUUACUUCUACUUUUAUGUUUGGAGGAAGUUCAAAUUCAACUUGAAAACGCAUGUGCCAAAAAGAAACAUUAUAGGUCAUUUUGGCCCAAUACCAUUGAACAAGUGAUUUUCCUCAACUUCUAAAAUGCAUAACUCCUUCAUGCAAAAUCCAAAUGAGGUCAAAUUUGUGACUAAAUUGAAUAGGUUUGAAAGAGCUACAACUUUCAUUAAAGAACGCUUCUCAUUUGAAGUCCAUAGAAAAAGUUAUUCAAGGUGGAAAAAGUGAACAUUUGACUUGGGACUUAGAAAAUUUUCAAAUAUGUUUGAUUUCCCAAACUUCCAACUGAAAAUUCAUCAUGAUACAAGCUUCAAAUGAAAAAGUGUUCAACAUGAAAGUUGUUUCCCUUGACCUCACCAUUCCAAAACGUCCAAGAUCACCUCAUUUGGCCAAAGUAACAUAGGACUAGAGCAUGGGUGCAAGUUGAAGGACCAUUUGGAUGUUUUCCACUUCCAUUUUUCAUACACAAUUGCAUGGCCUUCCAACUUGAAUUCAGCAUGAUGCACACUCAUUUUUGGAUCAGAACACAUCAUUUCAUGGGCCUAGCACAUUACAUCAUCCUACACAUAUAUCAUCCUCCAUGAGUCCAAAAAGUCAAGAGAAUGUCAAGCUAGAAAGAUGGUUCAUGGUGGUUGACCAGAGAAAGUCAACUAGUCAAAACUGGGGUUCCAUAGACCCUAUCUCCUUCAAUUUUUGUCAUAUGAAAAUGAUUCCAAGAGAAACGUUACUCAAAAUGACAUUCCAAAAAACUUUAAUGUUGAAGUCUAGACGUAGUUUUGCUUGGAAAGUCAUUUUUUAUGGUGAAAGACUAUAGGUCAUUUUGUCUGAACCCUAGUUUUGAGGUCAACUUUCC